CUCUAUGGUAGGGCGGAAGGGGGACGCGUUCGCGCGUGCUGGUCGCUAGGUCAGUCUGCUAACCCUCUUUCGUUCUACCACCCUA
rnacentral:antisense_RNA from 19 species